CUACACAAAUGACUUCGAUUUGCCACAAUGCAUCACCGUAAGCCUCGAUCGGUUCUGUGCAUUUCUAUCACAAAAGGUCUAAUAAGCAAAUACAUUCAAGAUAUUACUAAACAUAUUAUACUACAUCAAUUUGAUAAUUCAUAUUUUUAUUAUAUAUAAUAGUUAUAUCCAACAUGCAGGAUUCUCAUACUUGUUGUAGAGGAGAUCCC
rnacentral:lncRNA from 1 species